CAACUCGACUACAUGAAGCUGGAAUCGCUAGUAAUCGCGGAUCAGAAUGCCGCGGUGAAUACGUUCCCGGGUCUUGUACACACCGCCCGUCACACCAUGGGAGUCGGAAAUGCCCGAAGCCAGUGACCCAACUGAAAGGAGGGAGCUGUCGAAGGCAGGUCUGAUAACUGGGGUGAAGUCGUAACAAGGUACC
rnacentral:rRNA from 1 species